GACGAACGCUGGCGGCGUGCUUAACACAUGCAAGUCGAACGGAAAGGCCCUUCGGGGUACUCGAGUGGCGAACGGGUGAGUAACACGUGGGUGAUCUGCCCUGCACUUUGGGAUAAGCCUGGUAAACUGGGUCUAAUACCGAAUAGGACCACGCGCUUCAUGGUGUGUGGUGGAAAGCUUUUGCGGUGUGGGAUGGGCCCGCGGCCUAUCAGCUUGUUGGUGGGGUAAUGGCCUACCAAGGCGACGACGGGUAGCCGGCCUGAGAGGGUGACCGGCCACACGGGGACUGAGAUACGGCCCAGACUCCUACGGGAGGCAGCAGUGGGGAAUAUUGCACAAUGGGCGCAAGCCUGAUGCAGCGACGCCGCGUGAGGGAUGACGGCCUUCGGGUUGUAAACCUCUUUCAAUAGGGACGAAGCGCAAGUGACGGUACCUAUAGAAGAAGCACCGGCCAACUACGUG
rnacentral:rRNA from 1 species